rnacentral:rRNA from 1 species
AGCGAACGCUGGCGGCAGGCCUAACACAUGCAAGUCGAACGAACUCUUCGGAGUUAGUGGCGGACGGGUGAGUAACACGUGGGAACGUGCCUUUUGGUUCGGAAUAACUCAGGGAAACUUGUGCUAAUACCGAAUGUGCCCUUCGGGGGAAAGAUUUAUCGCCAUUAGAGCGGCCCGCGUCUGAUUAGCUAGUUGGUGAGGUAACGGCUCACCAAGGCGACGAUCAGUAGCUGGUCUGGGAGGAUGACCAGCCACACUGGGACUGAGACACGGCCCAGACUCCUACGGGAGGCAGCAGUGGGGAAUCUUGCGCAAUGAGCGAAAGCCUGACGCAGCCAUGCCGCGUGAAUGAUGAAGGUCUUAGGAUUGUAAAAUUCUUUCACCGGAGACGAUAAUGACGGUACCCGGAGAAGAAGCCCCGGCUAACUUCGUG